AUGGAUCCAAAUGUUAAACUUGUUACUAGACAAGGAAGCCACCGAAAGAUCCUGGUAAAUAUUGGAGAUUAAUUGGUAAACUUAACUAUCUCACAAUCAUACGACCAGAUAUUUCUUUUGUUGUAGGUGUGAUUAGUCAAUUUCUUCAAGCUCCUUCUAAUAGUCAUUGGAAAGCAACAAUUCACAUCUUAGAUACAUCAUAGGAGCAACAGGACAAGGACUGUUGAUGAAGAAAAAGGACAUAAUCAAAUUGUGGGAUAUUCUGAAGUAGAUUGGGCAGGUUCUCCCUCAGAUAGACGAUUUACUUCAAGGUAUUGUGUCCCAAUAGGAGGAAAUCUAAUACCUUAAAAAAGUAAAAAGCAAGAUGUUGUGACUAGAUCAAGCGCAAAAAUAGAGUACCGAGCCAUGGGUUUAGCCACUUGUGAGCUUGUUUGGUUAAAACAGCUUCUCCAAGAAUUCAAGUGUGGG
rnacentral:misc_RNA from 1 species